GUACAGGUCGCAUUAGGCAACUCCAACUCGUAAGUAACCACGAUUAUCACCAGUCUUCACAUGAUCGUAGCACUAGAGUGUAUAGUAUGAUUACACCCAGUCCUGUUGUAUAGGUCGCAUUAGGCAACUCCGACUCAUGUGUUAGCAUAGAUUGAUGAGCAAUAGAUGCAGUUGUAUAGGUCGCAUUAGACGACUUCGACUGCCGUGCUAGCAUAGGUUGUUGAGCACCUAAUUUUACUUAUAUUACUAUUGAGAUUUUGUGAUUUUGGGAUGUCAUGCCUUAUUUACGUUUUGCAGGCUAUGAUAAGUAUUUUCAUACUAUAUGUAGUAUGUACAGUUUGGAAACUAUACAUGUUUUAUGGCGAGGGGUUAUAACGUUUUCAAAGGUUUUUAUUAAAACUUUAUUUUCAGGCCCACUCACCCUUAUUUUUUGUCCCUCUAGGUUUUAGCUGCUGAACUUUUGUAUCGAUGAAGAUUAUUGGCAAAUCUCAGUAUAGGUUGGUAUCUUUGAAGGUAUAAUCCUUAUCUUACCUUACUGUACUUUACCAUCAUGUAUGAAAUUGGUUCAUUCCCGCUCACGAUGCACUCUUGUAUUUAGGAACUUUUAGGUUUAAAUUUAUUCACAUUUCCACAUCACUACACUUUAUGGCUUUGUCACCCUCCAGGUGUCGGCCAGCACAGCUCGAUUCGGAGUACAGGGGGACGUUCCGGUUUGGGGUGUGUCAUUGCACACAGCUUUACUUCUUUGUCGUUCGAUUCAUUGCCCUAACCAAUAAUUGCAGUUUUUACAAGCUUAAAAGUCAAGCUAUUUGCAGGUAUAUACUUCAAUAAAAAUAAAUAAUUGCUUUUGUAUUCUCUUUCUCAGAUGUUUAUGUGCUAGUUUAGUUUUCAAUUCUAUUUUCCUCUCCUCACUAGAAUAUGUUACAUAAUUUUAUUUAGUCUUAAACUAUUUUUGAAAAUAAAUCCAUAUGUUCUGUGGAUGUGUAACACAAAAUUUUGAUGUGUAAAUAAAAAUUCUUAUGUUGUGAUGUAGUGUUUGGACAACGUUCUAUUCAUGCGUAUACUGUGUUAUAUCUCUUUUAAUUUUCUUCUUGAAAAAUUAGUACAUGUCUCAGUUAGUGAUUUAUCAAUUUCCACCUGUGUCUACCAAUGUCUUAAUAAUGUAUUAUUAUAAUAAACAUGUUAUGAAGGCUGUAUUCAUUUUAGGAAGGUUAAUUUUCACACUCCCUUUUUUUUUUUGUUAAACAUCAUUUAUUAUCGCACACAACAUCCAUCCAAUGUAGACAAGACUUAAUCCUAUACGUUUAAAUUUACCCUUUUUUUCCAAACAUCUGAGAAACUAUUUACAGUGUGUGGUGAUACAUCUUUUUUGGCACACCCCGACCGAGAUCAAGGCAUGCUGGCCAUCACGUGAGAGUGACGUAGCCAUGUGCACAGUGCGAAAGCGAUAAUGAUAAGAAUUAUACGAAUAAUUAAAAACCAAAUUACUAGAGUGCACUACUAACAGAAAGUGAUAUGAGUUAGUUACAACAGUGAACACUCCUAAUCAGAGCAUAAUUUCUAGGUGCAGUCCAGUAGGACAAGUACUAGUUAUACAGUACCAGAAAUGUCCUACUAUUAUUU
rnacentral:lncRNA from 1 species